rnacentral:rRNA from 1 species
CAUGCAGGCGGCCUGUUAAGUCAGAUGUGAAAGCCCGGGGCUUAACCUCGGAAUUGCAUUUGAAACUGGCAGGCUAGAGUCUUGUAGAGGGGGUAGAAUUUCAGGUGUAGCGGUGAAAUGCGUAGAGAUCUGAAGGAAUACCAGUGGCGAAGGCGGCCCCCUGGACAAAGACUGACGCUCAGAUGCGAAAGCGUGGGGAGCAAACAGGAUUAGAUACCCUGGUAG